GUUGGGGCGAUCCUCGAACCGAUCUUAGCGACAACAGCCGGAUAGAGAUCGACGACCAGGAGGACUUUCACCGGCUGAAGGACAUAUCGGUGCCAAAGCAGAAAGAACUUAUAAUCGAACAGGCCUUUUAUGAUGUCGACCUUAGUUCGAUUCCUCGUCUAGGUAUAGUAUAGUUGGUCGGUUAUUUCUGACUUUCCUUUUAUUUGCUGAAUUGUACUGAUCUCCAUUGUAAUUGCAGCCAUACAGCAGAGGGUGCGAGUGUCGA
rnacentral:lncRNA from 1 species